rnacentral:tRNA from 1 species
GCCGUAGCUCAAAGGCAGAGCAUCUGCUUGGCAUGCAGAAGGUCCCAGGUUCAAAGCCCAGCAUCUCCA